rnacentral:miRNA from 1 species
ACGGGUGAGUAAGAUAAGGGGUAU